rnacentral:miRNA from 1 species
UUAUUAGACUUGUUACAAGGUUGUUCUAACAAGUCUGAUACAGUCAUGAUAAACAAGAAUGUUACAAGGUUGUCGACACAAGGUUGUAACAAUACUGCUAUAUCAUGACUGUAUCGGACUAGUUGUAACAACCUUGUAACAAGUCUGUUAU